AUUGAACGCUGGCGGCAGGCCUAACACAUGCAAGUCGAGCGGUAGCACAGGGAGCUUGCUCCUGGGUGACGAGCGGCGGACGAGUGAGUAAUGUCUGGGAAACUGCCUGAUGGAGGGGGAUAACUACUGGAAACGGUAGCUAAUACCGCAUAACGUCGCAAGACCAAAGAGGGGGACCUUCGGGCCUCUUGCCAUCAGAUGUGCCCAGAUGGGAUUAGCUAGUAGGUGGGGUAACGGCUCACCUAGGCGACGAUCCCUAGCUGGUCUGAGAGGAUGACCAGCCACACUGAAACUGAGACACGGUCCAGACUCCUACGGGAGGCAGCAGUGGGGAAUAUUGCACAAUGGGCGCAAGCCUGAUGCAGCCAUGCCGCGUGUAUGAAGAAGGCCUUCGGGUUGUAAAGUACUUUCAGCGGGGAGGAAGGUGUUGAGGUUAAUAACCUCAGCAAUUGACGUUACCCGCAGAAGAAGCACCGGCUAACUCCGUGCCAGCCGCCGCGGUAA
rnacentral:rRNA from 1 species